rnacentral:tRNA from 1 species
GGCGCGGUACCCGAGUGGUAAGGGAGAGGUCUGCAAAACCUUUAUACGGGAGUUCGAUUCUCCCCCGCGCCUCCA